GAUGAAGAACGCAGCGAAAUGCGAUAAGUAGUGUGAAUUGCAGAAUUCAGUGAAUCAUCGAAUCUUUGAACGCACAUUGCGCCCGCCAGUAUUCUGGCGGGCAUGCCUGUCUGAGCGUCAUUUCAACCCUCAAGCAACUUCUGCUUGGUGUUGGGGAUCGGCCGUUAAACGCCGCCCCCGAAAUCUAUUGGCGAUCUCGCUGUAGCUUCCUAUGCGUAGUAGUAACAUCUCGCAUCUGGAGAGCGGCGCGGUCAUGCCGUAAAACACCCAACUUCUCAGGUUGACCUCAGAUCAGGUAGGAAUACCCGCUGAACUUAAGCAUAUCAAUAAGCGGAGGA
rnacentral:misc_RNA from 1 species